UUGAACGCUGGCGGCAGGCCUAACACAUGCAAGUCGAACGGUAGCACAGAGAGCUUGCUCUCGGGUGACGAGUGGCGGACGGGUGAGUAAUGUCUGGGAAACUGCCCGAUGGAGGGGGAUAACUACUGGAAACGGUAGCUAAUACCGCAUAAUGUCGCAAGACCAAAGAGGGGGACCUUCGGGCCUCUUGCCAUCGGAUGUGCCCAGAUGGGAUUAGCUUGUUGGUGAGGUAAUGGCUCACCAAGGCGACGAUCCCUAGCUGGUCUGAGAGGAUGACCAGCCACACUGGAACUGAGACACGGUCCAGACUCCUACGGGAGGCAGCAGUGGGGAAUAUUGCACAAUGGGCGCAAGCCUGAUGCAGCCAUGCCGCGUGUGAAGAAGGCCUUCGGGUUGUAAAGCACUUUCAGCGGGGAGGAAGGCAAUGCGGUUAAUAACCGUGUUGAUUGACGUUACCCGCAGAAGAAGCACCGGCUAACUCCGUG
rnacentral:rRNA from 1 species